UACCAGCACCCCGAGUGUUCGGGACGAUUAUUGGGCCUAAAGCGUCCGUAGCCGGUUCUACAAGUCUUCCGUUAAAUCCACCUGCUUAACAGAUGGGCUGCGGAAGAUACUAUAGAGCUAGGAGGCGGGAGAGGCAAGCGGUACUCGAUGGGUAGGGGUAAAAUCCGUUGAUCCAUUGAAGACCACCAGUGGCGAAGGCGGCUUGCCAGAACGCGCUCGACGGUGAGGGAUGAAAGCUGGGGGAGCAAACCGG
rnacentral:rRNA from 1 species